UGUGCAUGCUCCUUACAUAGUAUAGCAGAGGUCUCUGGUGUCCUAUAAAGCAGUUCAGGGUCCCAUGGCUUAGCUGUGUUUGAGAUUUUAUUUAUUUAUUUUUUUAAAAAAAGACUGGGCCUCUCCACAAAGCUCUGGCUGUCCUGAAACACACAAUGUAGACCAGGCUGGCCUCAAACUCAGAGAUCCAUCCAACUCUGCCCCUUGAGUGGGUUAAAGACAAGUACCACCACUCCUAGCUGGGUGGUUUUUUUUUAAGGUAUAAUUUACAUACAGGGAAAUUUCAGAUUUUUGUGUUUUAGUUUUCGCAGAAACCAUGUGUAUGAGUAAAUAACACUGUCUGGGGCUGAGGCUGUUAUCACUGGGGUGUGAUUUCCUAGCGUGCAUAGGGCCUGGGUUGGAUCCCUCUGUACAAUAGUCGGUCGGCUUCCUGCAUAACUAGGUGACCCGGUAAUGCUGUAGCGUUUUUCUUACGCGUUGUUUAGGUUCUUCCUCUUUAGUAGCUCAAGGGAUCUCGAUCGGUUCCCAGCUGGAAGAGUCAGAGGAAGCACGAUGGGGCAGGAACUGUCUUACUGCUGUGUGCGUGCGUGCCGUGUGCAUGCCUGUGUGCCUAGGGUGUGUUUUAGCUUGUUGAUUUGGAGCCCUGCAGUAUGGGUUAGAACUGGAACUGUUCCAAGGAGGUCCCUUUGGAUUACCAAAGUCCCCAUGACAUACUCCCCACCCCCCACCCCCCACCUGACAUAAAAUUUAACCAUCUGCAGAGUUUCCACAGAGUUAACUUGAGUUGUGCUUGGGAGAUUGAAAUAAGAUCCGUGUUGCAAAACGAGCUGCUGGCUUGAAGCACACACAGUCUGUGCACUGCUGAGCUUGCAGCCCUCAGGCAGGCAGGGGCCAGAUUCCAGUGGAAAUCACUCUUAACUAAACACAUUAUUAAAAUGUAUUGAGCAGGGCCUCAAACUCUUCUUUAAAAAAAUUAAAUGAGUGAGAGUUUUAUUGCAUAAAUAAUAUACGGACACUCUACAGGGGAAGGAAAAUGCAGACUUUAAGCAGGCAAAAAAAAAAAAAAAAAAGGCUUUCUUGACAACCAUUUUUAAUCCUAGUCUCCUCCCCCCUGCCCCCAGAGGUUAACCACUGUCCUAGGGUUGUUGAUAUUCUUCGGGUGCUUUGUGUACUUACAGCUGGGCCUCUUGGACUUAGGAGUCAAAGAUACUCUACUGCAUGUGGGUAUCUUAGCAGGGUAUCUUGUUAGUGCGUGUGAAGUCACCUCAGUCUUAUCUCCUCCUAAGAUUUAGAAGGCUGAACAACUGUUUCAUUCUUUCCCAACUGAUGGACAUAGGAGUUAACCUCUUUUUCUGUUCGGAAAGUCCUUAGAGAAAACAUUAUUGCAGCUCUUGGGAGGUUUCUCUUGGGUGGGUACUGGAGAAGAGGAGUUCUUGGGUAGUAGGGUAAGGAUUGUACAUCCUGAUGAAGACACAGAUAGGGGGAACUUCUGAAUUUUGUUACCAUAGACAGCAGGAUGCCUGCAUUGUACUCUGAGAGCAGAACUUAGGGAGUGCUAGGCGUGUGUGUUCUCUGGAUCUCACCCGCCAGGCAGGCCAAGUACUGGUAGGUGAGAAAGGUUGGUGUCUAAGAAAGGCCCCUUUGGACCGGGUAGCUGAUAUCUGGGCCCAUGUCCAGAGGACUUUGGUAUGUUGAUAGUGUCUGUGUGAAGAAGAGUCACAGGGUGGAUGAACAGUGCGGUGGACCCACAAUGGGCGAUUCUCAGCUCUUCACUCUCACUGGAGACUCCACCACCUCUAGGGCUUCUCCUUGAGCUCUUCGGAAUACCAGGCAUGGUUUCACGGCUCAAUCUGGGGUGGAGCACUGGGAGGUGGUUUUAAUUUUCUGUGAGAGUGCUUAGGCCCCGGCCACACAGGUCACUAAUGGUUUAUGUUGGAGAAAGAAGCUGCGUGUCUUUCUCCCAUUCACACUUUCAGCCAUGGAUGUCUGCUUUUUGCAGAACUCCUAGAUGGCACCAGCACUAAUUAGGUCCCAUUGAUGGAGCCGAAGUAGUAAGGGAGGGUUAUGGCCAUGCUCCUGUUCCAAGGCUAGCCAUGUGCUGAUAAGACUGGUCACCCAUACAAGAGGUAGCAUCCUUUAUGGUUUGCAUGAUUUCCUGGGUUUUGCCUUUAGAUCCCUGUGCAGGUAGUGAAGGCAGCUUGUGUUGUGACCCUAGGGACACUUGGGUCAUUUGUUCAAGCGGAGGAAUGCAUUCACAUUUUUGCUUGGAGGGCUCAGGUGACUUCCCUCUGCUCUCCUACAGGUGUUUGCAGACUCUCCUUUUCUGUUCUUUCAGGAUUUGAUGUCCAGACUUGCAUACCCCUACCUUCCUCCCACUUGGCAGGUUAUCCCAGAGCCCCCUGGGCUCUGACCUUUUCAGCUUCUUCUGUCUACCACAUAGCAUAGAGCUCUGCAGGUUGUCUCUCUUUCAGGGGAGUGAACAUUGUCACCAGGGUGGAUAGUUUCCUAAUUUUAUGGGGGUCGCCUCCUUCUUUCCUUCCUUCCUGAUUUUUUAAAGUUAGUUAACUUUUUUUUUAUUUGCAGUGUAUUGGGCAGGAUGACUGUCUUUAUAAAAAAGAUUUAUUUGGGGGGCUGGAGAGAUGGUUCAGCAGUUAAAAGCACUGACUCCUCUUCCAGAGGACCUGGGCUCAAUUUCCAGCAACCACAUGGCAGCUUAACACUGUCUAUAACUCCUGUUCCAGGGGUUCCUAUACUCUCACACAGACACACAUUCAGUCAAAUCACCAAUGUAUAUAACACAAAAAUAAAUAUAUUAAAAAGAGAAGAUUUAUUUGUCUGUGUGUUUUCCAAGUGUAAGCAUGCGUCCAUGGAAGGCAGAGGGAUUGGAUCCUCUGAGGCUUAAAGCUGGCGUUCCAGGCAGUCGUGAGCUAUGCCAAGUGGGUGCUGGGAACUGAACUUAGGCCCUCUGGAAGACCAGCAAGCACUCGUAUUUGCUGAGCUGUCUUUCCAACCCCUUACCCCCGAAUGUCUUUUUGUUUUGUUUUGAGAUGGGAAUCUCACUAUGUGAGCCAAAGGCAUCUUUAAAAAGUCUUGGUCCUUCUGCUCGGCCUUCCCCAUGCUGAGAUUACAGGUGUGAGCCCUGCAUAGAUGCUGUCUUGCUUCUGGCCUUUGCGCCUACAGUAGGAUGGCAUCUGAUCCAUACGAUGUACAUGUCCUAGUCUGGGAGGGUUACUGUAUGUACUACACUGAGUUUUGGGGGGCGGAGGUGCCUUCCACCAUCCUUAUCAGGGGUAAAUUCUAUUUUCUUCUUUUAAAUUGUAGUGACUAUUUAUUGUGUGUGUAGGAGGUGUGUGUGGGGGACAUGUAUACCCCGGUACAUUAAGUAGAAGUUGGUGGACGGCCUAUAGGAGUUGAUUCUCUCCACCGUGUGAAUUCUUAGGUAUCAAACUCCAAUUGUCUGGCUCAUGUGGCGAGGGCCUUCACCUGCUGAGCCACCUCACUGGCUAGCAUUAUAAUCUAGUGUUUCCCCACAAUCGUGCCGUCCUGUAGUCUGCCUGUAAAUUUGACUGCACCGCUGCCUGCAGUUGAAUGUCUAUUAUUUGCUCCCUGUACUUAGGAUUGGAUUUAGGGCUUUGUGUAUGCCAGCUAAGUACUGUAUCACAAACCUGAUAACAGCCUCACUCAACCCCAUCUCUUUUGCUAGAAGUCUCUUUUGGGGAGAUGUUACAAGCAUGAAGGCCCGAGUUUGAAUCACCAGAACCUACAUAUAGCAGGUGCACACUUCGGUAAUCCCAGGACCCACAUACAUUAAGUACAGUGCACACUUCGGUAAUCCCAGGACACACAUACAUUAGGCACAGUGCACACUUCGGUAAUCCCAGGACCCACAUACAUUAGGCACAGUGCACACUUCGGUAAUCCCAGGACCCACAUACAUUAGGCACAGUGCACACUUCGGUAAUCCCAGGACACACAUACAUUAGGCACAGUGCACACUUCGGUAAUCCCAGGACACACAUACAUUAGGCACAGUGCACACUUCGGUAAUCCCAGGACACACAUACAUUAGGUACAGUGCACACUUCGGUAAUCCCAGGACCCACAUACAUUAGGCACAGUGCACACUCUGGUAAUCCCAGUGCUUCUCUGGUGAACUGGCAGGGGUGGCAGGAGAAUCCCUCAAGCGUGUGGGCCAGCUAACCUGGUGUUUGCAGGACACCAGCAAACAACAAAGUGGAAGGCAAAGACUGUUUGCAGGACACCAGCAAACAACAAAGUGGAAGGCAAAGACUAACGCCCCCACACUGUCCAUCACAUGUGCCCUGUAGCAUAUGCGCACCUACUCAGUGCACAGAUGCCCCCCCCACCUCUUUUUGGACUCUUGCUACUGCCCAGCUCAUUGCUCUGUCCGUAUGAUAUAUUAAAUUUUUCUUUCUGUUACAAAGAUCUUUUUUCUUUAUUUUUAAUUGACCAUCAAAUUUAUACCUAUUUUUAGGUGGUGGUGGUACAUGUGUGUAUCUAACAUUUACUGCAUAGCUGAGCUCUGGGUUUGGCAUGCAUUUCCUCAUUACUUAUUCCUGGGGAAUCAGAAUAUUUAGGAAGAAGAGCUUUGAGACUGCAAAGAACCGAGGCAGCCCCUCUGUGUGUGUCUAUAUGUGUGUGCACGUGUGUGUGCGUGUGCAUGUGUGAUGUAUAUGUGUACUUGUGUAUAUAUGAUUGUAUCUGUCUUUGUGGGGACCAGGGUUGGGAGCCUUGAGUGCUCUCCACCAUCUUCAUCUAGACAGUCUCACAACUGAACCUAGAGCUAUCUGGCUGGUAUGUCCAGUUAGCCAGUUUACUCUGUGGGAUCCUCUGUCGCUGCUGGAUUUAAACGUGGGCUGCCAUGUCUGCCUGGCGUUUAUGUGGUUUCUAGGGAUCCAGAUUUUGAUCCUUACAGCUCUUUAUUCAGUGACCCAUUUCCCCAGGCCCCCAAAGCAUUUUUGAAAAGCAAACCAAUAGCCAGGAAGUGGUGGAGCACGCCUUUAGUCCCAGCACUCAGGAGGCAGGAGCGGGAGGCUCUCUGCGUUUGUAGCCAGCCUGAUCUGAGUGCCAGGAUAGCCAGGGCUGUGUGUGUGUGUAAAUGCAUGUUUACCAUGUCAUAGGUGUACUAAUGGAGACAUAACAAAGAAGCUUUAUUUUUUUCCUGAAGGUCACAUAGUUGGGCAGUCUGAGCUCUUUUGCUGCCUGGGCUGUGAGGUUGUGCUUUCUCCUCUGGUGGCCCUGCUGUUGGGGCCCCAUCCUGGGUCACUGCCCCAGGGCCCUUUUCCCCUUUCAUGCCACAACCACCAGUACCACUUUGACCUCUCUGUGACUUAAGAUCUUUAACAAGGAGCCUCAAGAGUCAUCCUGCCUAGGCAGCCUUGCCUCUCCUCGCUCGUGCGUGACCAUCCUGGUUGCACUGAGAGUUCACAGGACUUUUGGAAUCAGAUCAUCUGAGCUCCCAGCUGAGAUCUGUCAUUUCUGUGUCUGUGGUUCUGGAAAACUGCUCAAAGUCCCUGGGGCUCAGUUUGCUUAUCUGGAAAGUGGGGCGCUUGUGAAUUAUCUAGGAGGACUAAGUGAAGUAAAAGUUGCAAACCACUCUGCAAGUUACCGGAGCUUGGGUAGUUGAUCAGCAGAGCUAUUGGGCUGGUCCUGAACACAGCCUCUGAAGGAUUGUGGUUUGUGUGUCAAGUUUCCUAUUCCGUGCUCGUCUGUUUAUGUUGUAACCAACCGUUCUGAUGAAGUAGACAGAGCAGCUGUACUCUGGGAUCAUAGAUGUGUGCCUGUGCUCUGCGAGGCCACACAUACUUUUGCAAGGCAAGGUUGGAGCCAUCAUUGUCGUCUUACUCUACUUAGCGUUGUCUUUGGGAGCUAAGCCCUGACACAGCUAUGUCAGCAGAUGGCUAGGGGCUGGAGCUUUGCUCAGUGGUACGGAGGGCCCCAGGUUUCUGGUGAGUCAGUGCUCAAGUGUGUCUUAGCGCCAGUGUGGGCCGGAUCUGCUCCACGAGGCUGGCCAGGCCACACCCCGGGGAAGUUUGGCAGUCAGCCUUGAACUCCCUGGGCAGGGCCCCAAGACAGAUGUAGGCACUGGGGAGUGAGCAGGGGAGCAGCCCCUGGCUGAAGAGAGGUGACAGGCGUCUGGUCAUGUGGGAGCCAGGCAGGCCUUCACUCUGGACUCCCUAAAUGUCUAGGCUUACAUUGAGCACACUCUGAGGACUGAACCCAGGGGGUUUGUUGGCCAGGAGGCCUCUGACAGCAAGAGGUUGGAUUUCUUUCCCCACCAUCUUGCUGAAGUCAGCCUGGUUGGGAUUUCAGUUAAUUAGCGGCUCCCCCAUAGGCCUCUGGGUUCCCUUGAGAGUGAGUAGUUGUAUUUCAGGUUCUGGUAGGGUACCCUGGUAAAGCGCCAGUUCCUAGAUGGCUGCUGGUGGACAGUGGCUGUGCAGAGCUCACAGUCAUUUGCUACGUUAUCUAGCAGGGCCCUCAUGGCAGUGAGAGGAACACGGACCCUCCGGAUUUGGUGCAGUGUGCAGGCAUUGGCUCAGCGAGGCAGAUGCAGUCUCACCUUCACAGGUGAGGUGUGGAGCUGCAGACUUAAGGGUGGCAGUUGUUGGUGGCUUUUGGAGUGGACCCUGAUUCCUGAGGGGUACUUAGGUGGUGCCUUGCCUCCACUCUCUUGCUGUUGAGUGUCCCUUGUGUGCGUUUACACCGUGUGCCAUCGUUAGCUGUAAAUCUCAUACUCUAGCCUGGUGCCUGAGUUGGUGGCACAUUGGCUGGCACCUGAAGCCUGGUUCUCCGCCCCAGGGAAGGUGCAGGGCUGCCGGAUGAUAUUGAUUCAGCCAGGACAUCGGCAGGAACUUUGGCUCUUCCUCCAAGCUGCUGCUUGUUUAUUUGGCCUUGUCAGGGAAUGUGGUAGUUGACUGGAACGCGGCGUCUGAACCCUGCAGCCUCCUUGUUAAAGGGUUUCACCGUCAGCAGCCAUUCUGUUCAUUUGGUGUCACCAGGUUCUGAGGUUAAUCCGUUCAAAUGGUGGUCAAAUUCUAAGGGGUGUUUGCUCUAACCACUUCUUUGGGGGGAGAGAAGAAAGAAUUACAUCCUAUGCCCUGCUUCACUUCCUUCUCCAAGGGGAAAGCAUCACCUGUGAGUGUCGGGAGGGAGGGAGCCCGGGUGCUGCUAACACUAGCUUCCCUUUCUGGUUAAACUCCUGUCUCUGCUUUAUGUUUUUGGGUGUGGCUCUUGCUAGCCUGGCUUGUCACUCCUUCAGGUGCUUCUCAUAGACCUUUCUAGGUGAAAAUUGCUCUUCUUCAGAGGUCCCUUUUUUUCCUGGGCCACCCUCCAUACUCCCCAGUUCCUGGAGAAGGGAGAACCAGACCCCAGAGGAACCAGCAGAGCUGAAAAUGAGCCCCAACCCCGUUCCAAGGGUGGUCUUGGGCAAAUGAGUGGCUUUCUUAAGGCACCUUGCUUUCUCAACUACAAAACAGGGUCACUAUUGUCCCUCCCAAUUAAAAAUGAUCUUACAUUCACUUACUGUGUGCCUGUGCGUGUACCUAUGUGCGUCCGUGUGGAGGUCGGUCAGAAGACAGCCUAGCCUGAAGGAAUUGGUUCUAGUCUUUUACUAUGUGAGUCCCAGGGAUCGAGUUCAGGACCUGAGGCUUGGCGAUAGGCACCUUUGCCCCUGAGCCUUCCUUGUUGCUUUAUUAGGUUACUGGGGUAGGGUAAGGGGUCAGGAAAGCACGGUAGCCCCCAGAUUAUCUGUUAAGUUGAGAGUAGACAAGGAACCACCUGAGUGUUCCUCCUUUGCUCCUUGAGCUCCAGCACCAGCCUCCCAAGCUCGCUGUGAGAAGCCACCGAACUGCCACCUGUCUGGGGCCUGUCUCCCUGGGGAUACUCUGCUCCUAGUUCCCUCCCCUGAGACCUGGCUCUGGGGAGAAUGCCAAGUCAGCACUCCUUUAUCUCCCGGUCUCCUUCGGGGAGGAGUUUAGCCCAGUUUCAGUCAGGUUUAACCACAACAUUCCCUCUCUGUUAUGUAUUUAUUUAUUUUCUGCUGGUUGAAUAGGGUCUCAUUAUGUUGCCUAGGCUGUUCUCUGCUUCAGCCUCCUCAGUACCCAGGACUGUAGGGACUGCACCUAUAUACCGCCUGCUUGUUUGCCUGUUCUUUUCGU
ensembl:lncRNA